UUGAUUAUCUCUCUUGUGGCGGUUUAAAACAGCACGUGUGUUUUUUGACCAAGCUACGGAUUUCAAAUAAUGUCAAAGAUGAGUUGUAAGUGUGUAGACAAUACAGAUAUUCUACUGCAAAUAUUGGAUGAAUUAAAGAAACACACAAAAUAUUAUGAAGAAAAAGGAAAAGAAAAAGAGCCAAGUCCAGUUAAAAAGAACCCUACAGGACAGAAGAAAUCAACUUUGA